AGUGAACGCUGGCGGUAGGCCCAACACAUGCAAGUCGAACGGCAGCACAGUAAGAGCUUGCUCUUACGGGUGGCGAGUGGCGGACGGGUGAGGAAUACAUCGGAAUCUACUUUUUCGUGGGGGAUAACGUAGGGAAACUUACGCUAAUACCGCAUACGACCUACGGGUGAAAGCAGGGGAUCUUCGGACCUUGCGCGAUUGAAUGAGCCGAUGUCGGAUUAGCUAGUUGGCGGGGUAAAGGCCCACCAAGGCGACGAUCCGUAGCUGGUCUGAGAGGAUGAUCAGCCACACUGGAACUGAGACACGGUCCAGACUCCUACGGGAGGCAGCAGUGGGGAAUAUUGGACAAUGGGCGCAAGCCUGAUCCAGCCAUACCGCGUGGGUGAAGAAGGCCUUUGGGUUGUAAAGCCCUUUUGUUGGGAAAGAAAAGCAGCAGGUUAAUACCCCGCUGUUCUGACGGUACCCAAAGAAUAAGCACCGGCUAACUUCGUG
rnacentral:rRNA from 1 species